GAAAAAUAUUCAGAGAAAAUGUUCCCUAAAAGAAUUGUGGGAAGUUGCACAAUUUCUCGCUGAUAAAUGUGCAGCCUUUUCCUCAAAUAUUUUGAACAUCUGAAAAACGUCCUUCAGUUGAGAUUUUGAAAAGAAUGCCUCAAAGACGGACGCCAUUGAAGUUCAGCAUGGAAUAGUAAAAGGGUUGGCAAAAUGCUCAUCAAAGUCCAGUACCGUGGACUAAAACAAGUACCUCAAACUGCAUCCUGGUUUUUCUUAUGAAAGUUUCAUUGAAGAAGAAUUUGUGCCAGCAGGUUCUUCUACUCUAAUUUCUUCAAGUGAUAUGGAGAGGUCCUCUUCAAACAAGGGACAUCAAUCUC